CCUACGGGUGGCAGCAGUAGGGAAUUUUCGGCAAUGGGGGGAACCCUGACCGAGCAACGCCGCGUGAACGAAGAAGUUAUUCGUAAUGUAAAGUUCUUUUAACAGGGAAGAAAGAGAAAUUUGACGGUACCUGAAGAAUAAGCUCCGGCUAACUACGUGCCAGCAGCCGCGGUAAUACGUAGGGAGCGAGCGUUAUCCGGAAUUAUUGGGUGUAAAGGGCGUGUAGGCGGGAGAGCAAGUCAGACGUGAAAUUCCAGGGCUCAACCCUGGAACUGCGUUUGAAACUGUUCUUCUUGAGUGAUGGAGAGGCAGGCGGAAUGCCGGGUGUAGCGGUGAAAUGCGUAGAUAUACGGAGGAACACCAGUGGCGAAGGCGGCCUGCUGGACAUUAACUGACGCUGAGGCGCGAAAGCGUGGGGAGCAAACAGGAUUAGAUACCCGAGUAGUC
rnacentral:rRNA from 1 species